CCUACGGGUGGCAGCAGUGAGGAAUAUUGGUCAAUGGACGAGAGUCUGAACCAGCCAAGUAGCGUGAAGGAUGACUGCCCUAUGGGUUGUAAACUUCUUUUAUAAAGGAAUAAAACGAGGCACGUGUGCCUUUUUGCAUGUACUUUAUGAAUAAGGAUAGGCUAACUCCGUGCCAGCAGCUGCGGUAGUACCGAAGAUCCGAGCUUUAUCCGGAUUUAUUGGGUUUAAAGGGAGCGUAGAUGGGUUUUUAAGUCAGUUGUGAAAGUUUGCGGCUCAACCGUAAAAUUGUAGUUGAUACUGGAAGUCUUGAGUACAGUAGAGGUAGGCGGAAUUCGUGGUGUAGCGGUGAAAUGCUUAGAUAUCACGAAGAACCCCGAUUGCGAAGGCAGCUUACUAAACUGUGACUGACAUUGAUGCUCGAAAGUGUGGGUAUCAAACAGGAUUAGAUACCCGAGUAGUC
rnacentral:rRNA from 1 species